rnacentral:rRNA from 1 species
UACGUAGGGGGCUAGCGUUGUCCGGAAUCAUUGGGCGUAAAGCGCGCGUAGGCGGCCCGGUAAGUCCGCUGUAAAAGUCCAGGGCUCAACCCUGGAACGCCGGUGGAUACUGUCGGGCUAGAGUCCGGAAGAGGCGAGUGGAAUUCCUGGUGUAGCGGUGGAAUGCGCAGAUAUCAGGAGGAACACCGGUGGCGAAGGCGGGUCUCUGGGCCGAUAUUGACGCUGAGGAGCGAAAGCGUGGGGAGCGAACAGG